AGAGUUCGAUCCUGGCUCAGGACGAACGCUGGCGGCGUGCUUAACUCAUGCAAGUCGAGCGGGGAUUUGGAAGGAAGUUCUUCGGAACGGAGGUUCAAAUUCCAGCGGCGGACGGGUGAGUAACGCGUGAACAAUCUGUCCCGGACAGGGGGAUAACAGAUGGAAACAUCUGCUAAUACCGCAUAAGACCACGGCCUCGCAUGGGGCUGAGGUAAAAGGAGCAAUCCGGUUCGGGGUGAGUUCGCGUCCGAUUAGCUAGUUGGCGAGGUAACGGCCCACCAAGGCGACGAUCGGUAGCCGACCUGAGAGGGUGAUCGGCCACAUUGGAACUGAGAGACGGUCCAA
rnacentral:rRNA from 1 species